GGUUCAUUGGUGUAAUGGUCAGCACGUCGGAUUCUGAUUCGUUAGAGUCUUCCGGAGAUAUUGGUUCGAUUCCUAUAUGAACCU
rnacentral:tRNA from 1 species